GCCUAUCCACAAUUUCUAUUUCUUUCUAUUUCUGCAGCCAUACCUAGCUGGGAGCUUUUGACAUGGAAGUUGCAUCAGGGCAGGCUGAUUGACUUGAUUGUCUUCUUUUCCAGUCACACAGAGCUGGAGCUGCUGUGCUCUCUCUUCUUGCACCUGUCACUAGGUGGCAGACUUCUGUGGGGCAGAAAACGGACCUAAAAGGAGCCAACACAUACCAUGUAAGGAAGCAUCUCACGGCUUUGGAGUAUGGCAAUGAUAAAAUUGAGGAUAUUUUGUGAGAUGGUCUUCUAAAGCCUGGGAGAUCACAGCCAAAGAAAGAAAGCCUUCAAAUGCCUAAAUAUCUAUAUAAACAGUAUGGAAAGGAGAAUUAGAAGCUGAUAUUCUUCUCAAAUCCAAACCACUCGAUACUCAGAAAAAAAAGAUCCCAGAUUCUAAUUUUAAGAGUAAUAUGAUCCCUGGCAUGGAUAGCCCAGAAUAAAUGCCUUGAAACAAUUUUGCUGGGAAGAAAAGGAAAAUCAACUUGAAACCAAAACGAUAACUUACUGUCAGCAUACCUCAAAGGAGAAAGUUUGUGAAUACUAACUUCUCUGAAAACCAGUUUGAGAUUGGGGAAUAUGCUGUGCAGAUCCUAUACCAGAUGUUGCACAUGAGCCCUUUAAGUCCCAGGAGCUCUGCUGGCUGACACUUUAAGGAGAGAAGCAGGGAUGGAGCCACUACCUAUUUCCCACACCCUCACGAGGAGCAUUUAGGAUCCAUCAAAAUGAGCCCAGGACUCAAGUCUUCUAUGUACACAAUGCUACUAGUCAAAGAAUCAGAACUAAGACCAUUCAAUUUCCUCCUUUUUUGGAGUCAGGCCAGGCUGACAUUUUCCUUUUUGUUAGUUUUGGCAAAGGGGAAAGAAGGGGAAACUUUACU